rnacentral:rRNA from 1 species
GAGUGUCCUUGCGAUCCUUUAGCGUUGCAAACAUUAAAUUUGUCUUUUGCUAGAGGUGUCAGAAAAGUUACCACAGGGAUAACUGGCUUGUAGCUGUAGAGAGUUCAUAUCGACAUAGCUUUUUGAUUCUUCGAUGUCGGCUCUUCCUAUUCUUUCGCUGCAGAAGGCGAAACGGAUGUGAUUGUUCACCACUAAAAAGGGAACGUGAGCUGGGUUUAGACCGUUGCGAAACAGGUUAGUUUUAUCCUACUGUCAUUGAAACAUGUAAGAUCUCGGCCAUCGAGCCUGGAGUCAAAUACAAAUUUCCCAAGAGUUAUAAGUGUUAGUACGAGAGGAACACUCUUUUCCCGCUUCUGAUAAUGCGUUGGAUCGAUCGAUCCGAGACGCAAAGUUACGCGGGAAGUGAUAAUAGCUGACGCCUCUAAGCAAGAAUCAUGACUUAAAGGGAAGUUG